CAGAGAGUAGUUUAGUGUAAAAUGCCAGCUUUGGGAGUUGGUGAUGARGGGGGAAGGGGGGGCCCUUUUA
rnacentral:tRNA from 1 species